UGCUAAUUUUUUUUUUUUGUUUUGUAAUAGUUUUUAGUUACUACUUGUUUAUUACUGGUACUAGCGUUCUUACCUGGUUGAGAUCCGAAUGUAACACCCACACCUAUGUUUCUCGUAAGGAUGAGAAUAAAAUGUUUUUCUUUGG